rnacentral:lncRNA from 1 species
CUGAUUCAGAUUCAUUGGUCUCUUUCAAUAUCUCUGCUGAAAGUUCUCUUGUUUUUUCCUCUAUGGUAAUGACUUCAGGAAAAGGUUCAGUAACUAAAACUGUUGUUCCUUGCUCAGCUUCUUGUGGUUUUUCCUGUACCUCUGGAAUCAAAGCCGCAACCUCAUGCUCAGGCUUCUCUUCCUUUUGGUUACUUGUUUCCGAAGUUUCAGCCUCUUUCACUUCCUCUACUUCUAACUUUUUUGGUUCUUGAAUAAUUUCCCCCACCUCUGCAGCCAGAACCACAGGUUCAAUCUCAGGCU